rnacentral:rRNA from 1 species
AUACGGAGGGUGCGAGCGUUAAUCGGAAUCACUGGGCGUAAAGGGCGCGCAGGCGGUUUGAUUAGUCAGAUGUGAAAGCCCACGGCUUAACCGUGGAAGUGCAUUUGAAACUGUCAGACUUGAGUACCAGAGGGGGUAGUGGAAUUCCCGGUGUAGAGGUGAAAUUCGUAGAUAUCGGGAGGUAUACCGGUGGCGAAGGCGACUACCUGGCUGGAUACUGACGCUGAGGCGCGAAAGCGUGGGGAGCAAACAGGAUUAGAAACCCCAGUAGUCC